AUCUAAAAUGGCGUUUAGGCUCUGUCCUGGGAGAUAAUUGAAUUACUUCACAAUUAUCUCCCUGAGCAGAGCAGAGGGUUCUGGGUAAGAAAAGGGGAAUGGCUAAGUGUGUACCCUGUGAUUGGUUGCUACAAUGUCCUUGUCACAGUCCCCCAUUUGGUCCCCUAGGGGAGUGUCCACCAUAUGGGAGACUUGCAUAAAAG